rnacentral:piRNA from 1 species
UGAAGCUGAUGAAGUACAGAUCACAAUG